rnacentral:rRNA from 1 species
GACGAACGCUGGCGGCGUGCCUAAUACAUGCAAGUUGAGCGAUGAAGAUUGGUGCUUGCACCAAUUUGAAGAGCAGCGAACGGGUGAGUAACGCGUGGGGAAUCUGCCUUUGAGCGGGGGACAACAUUUGGAAACGAAUGCUAAUACCGCAUAACAACUUUAAACAUAAGUUUUAAGUUUGAAAGAUGCAAUUGCAUCACUCAAAGAUGAUCCCGCGUUGUAUUAGCUAGUUGGUGAGGUAAAGGCUCACCAAGGCGAUGAUACAUAGCCGACCUGAGAGGGUGAUCCGCCACAUUGGGACUGAGACACGGCCCAAACUCCUUCGGGAGGCAGCAGUAGGGAAUCUUCGGCAAUGGACGAAAGUCUUACCGAGCAACGCCGCGUGAGGGAAGAAGGGUUUCGGAUCGUAAAACUCCGUUUGUAGAGAAGAAAGUUGGUGAGAGUGGAAAGCUCAUCAAGUGACGGUAACUACACAGAAAGGGACGGCUAACUACGUG